rfam:Solanum tuberosum cultivar DM 1-3 516 R44 scf00396_1, whole genome shotgun sequence.
AUACUUACAUGGACGGGGUCAACGGGUGAUCAAUAAGGCCUAUGGCCUAGGUUGGUGACCUCCAUUGCACUUUGGAGGGGUGUCCGCUUAAGGUCGGCCUAAGUGGACGAGCCUACAUCAUAAUUUGUUGCAGCGGGGGCCUGUGUUUGUGCGGCCCCUAC